rnacentral:rRNA from 1 species
UACAGAGGGGGCAAGCGUUGUUCGGAAUUACUGGGCGUAAAGGGCGCGUAGGCGGCCUGCUAAGUCGAACGUGAAAUCCCCGGGCUCAACCCGGGAACUGCGUCCGAUACUGGCAGGCUUGAAUCCGGGAGAGGGAUGCGGAAUUCCAGGUGUAGCGGUGAAAUGCGUAGAUAUCAGGAGGAACACCAAUGGCGAAGGCAGCACUCUGGGACGUGACUGACGCUGAGACGCGAAAGCGUGGGGAGCAAACAGG